rnacentral:rRNA from 1 species
GACGAACCGUGCGAACGUUGUUCGGAUUCACUGGGCUUAAAGGGCGCGUAGGCGGCUCCGCAAGUCGGGGGUGAAAUCUUUCGGCUUAACCGGAAAAGUGCCUCUGAUACUGCGGAGCUCGAGGGAGGUAGGGGCGGACGGAACUUCCGGUGGAGCGGUGAAAUGCGUUGAUAUCGGAAGGAACGCCGGUGGCGAAAGCGGUCCGCUGGCCCUCUACUGACGCUGAGGCGCGAAAGCCAGGGGAGCAAACGGGG